rnacentral:tRNA from 1 species
GAGUUUGGAGCUCAGUAGUUUAGAGCACUUGUUUCUCUUGCAGAAGAUCUGAGAUCAAAUCUCAGCACUCA